GACGAACGCUGGCGGCGUGCUUAACACAUGCAAGUGGAGCGACGAACCGGGCUUCGGCCCGGGGCAAAGCCGCGAACGGGUGAGUAUCACGCGGGUAACCUGCCCCGUUGACCGGGACAACCCGAGGAAACUCGGGCUAAUACCGGAUGUGCUCUAAAUCCACGAGGGUUGAGAACAAAGGAAGCUUCGGCCUCCGCAUUGGGAUGGGCCCGCGGCCCAUUAGCCUGUUGGUGAGGUAAAGGCUCACCAAGGCGACGAUGGGUAGCUGGUCUGAGAGGACGAUAAGCCACACUGGGACGGAGACACGGCCCAGACUCCUACGGGAGGCAGCAGUGGGGAAUCUUGCGCAAUGCGCGAAAGCGUGACGCAGAAACGCCGCGUGAGGGAAGAAGGCCUUCGGGUUGUAAACCUCUUUCAGGAGGGACGAAGGUUCAGGCGCGAAUAGCGUCCUGGACUGACGGUACCUCCAGAAGAAGCCCCGGCUAACUUCGUGCCAGCAGCCGCAGUAAAAC
rnacentral:rRNA from 1 species